GGGUGUAUAGCUCAGGUGGUAGAGCGUGUGCUUAGCUUGCAUAAGGUCCCAGGUUCAAUUCCCAGUACCUCCA
rnacentral:tRNA from 1 species